rnacentral:lncRNA from 1 species
GUCAUGGAAACAAAUCCAGUGUCACCACAGUGCUCAGUGUCUUCUUAACAGACCACAGAUGCUUCAGAGGACUUGCUGGCAUUGCAGUGGCUCAGCUUUUGAAUCCACAUUGGUCACUGUACAUACUUCCUCUGGGCUACUCAUGAGAAUGAAAAUGCAAAUAUGAUAAACGAACAACUGUCGGCUUGAAAACCAAUCUAUCACAGAUUCGCCCAGCCUACCCCUGCUGGAUGGCAUCUGACCAGAGACAUCUGCAAAGAAAUACACAGAUAUUUGGCAACAGCUCUGAGGAACAUUUGUGUUUCAAAGAAAUGAUGUCACUUCCUGGGGGAGGAUGUUGCCAUAUUGGAAAUGUCAUGUGACCUGAAAUCAACAGUGCCACAUCCUACUCUUUCUGGACUUAUUAUUUUCCAUACUGUACUGUAAGAAAAUAGGUAUGUUCAGACGUGAGGUAACAAUAUGUAAAUUUACGUUGAGGACACACUCUGAAAAAAAAACAUUAAAUGAUUACAAUUAAAAAGAAUAUUCACAAGAAUAGAUGUAUAGAAAAACUGUUAGAGAAAAAGAAAUGUAAAAAAAG